GAAAGAUGUGAGAUCCCAGAACUUAACUUGGAACUGCAUUUUUAACUACCGAGCUAGAGUGUGUCAGAGGGAGGUGGAAUUCCGUGUAGCAGUGAAAUGCGUAGAUAUGCGGAGGAACACCGAUGGUGAAGGCAGCCUCCUGGGAUAACACUGACGCUCAUGCACGAAAGCGUGGGGAGCAAACAGAUUAGAUACCCUGGUAGUCCACGCCCUAAACGAUGUCAACUAGCUGUUGGGGCCUUCUUCGGGCCUUGGUAGCGCAGCUAACGCGUGAAGUUGACCCCGCCUGGGGAGUACACGCAAGAUUAAAACUCAAAGGAAUUGACGGGGACCCUGCACAAGCGGUGGAUGAUGUGGAUUAAUUCGAUGCAAUCAUGAAAACCUUACCUACUCCUUGACAUGUCUGGAAUCCCGAAGAGAUUUGGGAGUGUUUGCAAGAGAACCGGAACAGGCAUGUAUGGCUGUCGUCAGCUCGUGUCGUGGAGAUGUUGUUAAGUCCCGCAACGAGCGCAACCCUUGUCAUUAGUUGCUACGAAAGGGCACUCAAUGAGAUCAAGCGCGGUGACAAACCGGAGUGAAGGUGGGGAUGACGUCAAGUCCUCAUGGCCCUUAUGGGUAGGGCUUCACACGUCAUACAAUGGGACAGAGGGUCGCCAACCCGCGAGGGGAGCCAUAAUCAGAAACCCGAUCGGGUCCGAUCGCAGUCUGCAAAUCGACUGCGUGAAGUCGGAAUCGCUAGGCACCGCGGAUCAGCAUGUCGGCAGAAUAUUGUUCCCGGGUCUUGUACACACCGCCCGUCACACCAUGGGAGUGGGUUUUACCAGAAGUAGUUAGCCUAACCGUAAGGAGGCGAUUACCACGGUAGGAUUCAUGACUGGGUGAAGUCGUAACAAGGUAG
rnacentral:misc_RNA from 1 species